rnacentral:lncRNA from 1 species
GUCUUCCUACACUGGAAUGUAAGCUCUUUCAAGACGGAUCUUGAUUUCUUGUUUUCUUUUGGGAUCCACAGUGCAUAGACCAGUGCCAGCAAAUAGUAGAUAUCUGUGGAAUGAAUGAAUGAAUGAACCCAGCCCUGGAUGGGCAUUACCUAACGGUGUCCUUUACUUAUUAACACGUGUGUGUUUUGUCUACACAGCCUGAUCAUAAGUCAUGCUAGGGCAAGGACUGCCCUCCUGGGAAAUUUGAAGACCUUCUGGCCAAUGAAUGAGGUCAGGAAUGAUGGCUUCUUCUCUGGUGAUUUAGGCUGGAGAAAUUGCUCCAUUUGGGGGCUGUUUCACAUGCAAUUGUGCCCAAGGGUGGAAGGAUGGAAAAGAUGAGUGUUCAAGGCCCUUCUGGUCAUAGUAGAACAUGCGGAAGGGUGUUGGUGUGAUGAUGCAACAGGUCGGCAAUGACUACUCAGUUACACCUUUAUUUAUUCAUAAACUCAUGAUUUUGCCAAGAAAGUCAGCAGCUUAGGAUACAUUUAUUCAUUGGCAGACACUGCUGGUUGUGAAAUUGACAGCUGUUUCCCCACUCUUCUUCUUUACCCAAAGAACCUACCUUCUACUUUUACAGCCCAAAGUUCUAGACACUUGCUCUCUGAGUCUCCCUUAUGAUUUGUGGUGAUCAUUCGUGAGCCCCAUUCCUGGCCAAUGACACAUGAAGGCAAGUUUGCCAGGGACUCCUAAAAACAUUUUUUUUAAUUUAAAAGAAUUACUUUUUAAACUUUUUUGCUCUUAUGAACACUUUCCUAACACAGUAAUUUUAAUGUUAUUUUUUAAAUUGUCCAUUUUUAAAAAAAUUAUUUGAUUUAUUUUAAAGGUGUAAUUUCUCAGAAUAAUUUUACUCUCUGAUGAAAGGAGGGAAUAAGGUAACGAGAUGUUCCCUCCCUCCCUUCUCACAUUGGACCUUGUGUGAGGACGGGACACUGGAGCUGCUGUGGCCACCUGGACCAAGAGAAUCAAGGAGGAGCUGACCCAAACCCUGAUGCUGCAAAGCCAUUGGCCAGCGCUGGCAUUGUCCGCCUCUGGAGUCCUUGUUACAAGAGAAUUAUAAACUCCUGUUGUUGAGACUUUGAGACCCCAUGGCGGAGACGGAGGGUCCUUCCACUGCAGCACAAAGUGGGGCACUUGCAGUCACAUCGCCUGUGUUCACGGUGGAGCGGAUCUACUGCCCUUGUAGGGCUGAUGCAUUGCAAGGGGCUGAACCUCCUGCACUGUCUCCUCUUGGUGUAAAUAAACACUGUGCCACCUGAGCCUGAUGUGUGUGUUGUCUGUCCUCAGUGACCUUGAGUCAUGCACUGGUCUCUUCCCUGGGAGGCACGUAUCUGCCUUUUGACCUUGGCUGCACAGCCUGGACACCCAGCGAAUGGUGAAACAAUCUCCGUGUUUUGCACCUUUUACUGUGGCAGCCAGUGCCUCCAAUUCCUGAGCUUUGCUGGGACUUUGUAGGGCAUUAGCUGUUUCUCCUCAGCAGAGUCAUGCAUGCUUAACCACUGGGAUAUGUUCUGAGAAAUGCAUCGUUAGGUGACUUCAUUGUUGUGUGAACAUCGUAGAAUGCACUCACACAAACCUAAAUGGUAUAGCUUGCUACACACCUACGCUAUAUGGUGUAGUCUAUUGCUCCUAGACUACAAAGCUGUACAGCAUGUUACUGUACUGAACGUUGUAGGCAGUUGUAACACAAAUGGUAAGAAUUUGUGGUAUCUAAACAAACUUAAAUAUAGAAAACAGUAAAAUCACAGUAUAAAAGAUAGAAAAUGGAAUGUGUAUAUAGGGCACUUACCAUGAAUGGAGCUUGCAGGACUGGAGGCUGCUGUGGGUGAGUGGGGAGUGAACAUGAAUGGCUAGGACAUUACUGUAUACUUUUAUACAACUGGCAGCACAGUAGGUUCGUUUACACCAGCCAGCGUCACCAUAAUCUCGCGAGUAAUGUGUCACACUACAAUGUUACAAUGGCUAUGACCUCCUUAGGUGAUAGAACACUUUCAGCUCCAUUAUACAGAAUCUUCCGGGACCACGCUGUACAUACGGCCCAUUGUUGACCGUUAUGUGGGGCGUGACUGGCUUCCCUCCUGGAGACAUUCACCACUGUACUUCUCCCAGUGUUGGUCUCAUUGUUCUUGGCUCUGCCAUGUCAACUGCCAUCC